rnacentral:rRNA from 1 species
GACGAACGCUGGCGGCGUGCUUAACACAUGCAAGUCGAACGGAAAGGCCCUGCUUUUGUUUGUUGCUCGCUUGGCGAACGGGUGCCUAACACGUGCGUCACCUCCCCUUUACUUUGGGAUCUCUUCAGGAAACUUUUUCUCAUACCGGAUAGGAUCUCCUUCUGCCUGGUUCGGUUUUGAACCUUUCGGCGGUUGGGGAUGUACUCGCGGCUUAUCCGCUUGUUGGUGGGGUAGUGGCUUACCAAGGCUUUGCCGGGUAGCCGGCCUGAGAGGGUGACCGGCCACAUUGGGACAGAGAUACGGCCCAGACUCCUACGGGAGGCAGCAGUGGGGAAAAUUGCACAAUGGGCGGAAGCCAGAUGCAGCAAGGCAGCGUGCGGGAUGACGGCCGUCGGGUUGUAAACCGCAUUGGCAUGAGACGAAGCGUGAGUGACGGUAAUGGGUAAAGAAGGACCGGCUAACUACGUG